rnacentral:lncRNA from 1 species
UUUUUUCGGUUAAUAUUUUAAAGCUAGAGGAUAAAAUGGAUCACUAAAAACUGGAAAGUGACUCAGAUGACAAUGCGUAUCGAUGACAUAGGAAAAAAAAAAUACACAUACUGUAUGACAAGGAUUUCUGAUACAUAGAAAGCAAGGAUGUGAAUACACAAACACAACCUUAGUUUAUUGAAAAUACAAAGCAUGUUUCAGGCAAAACAUAGGAGUAAAUUCACGAGUUUGUUACCCACAAACUCUAUCUCUCACAUGUGCUGCAAACUAGCUUAUUUAGAAAGAGCUGAUCAAAUCACCCUCUGACGAUGAUCUGGUUUCUAUAUUUCUGUUUCCGUUGACCCUCCUGCAGUUCGAUCUAAUCUCCCCUUGAUUGCCUGUCAAUGGUUUCAAGUUCCCCAUUCUUAUCAUUGAAACCACAAAGCUUUUAAAGAAAGCAGCCUGGUUGCUACUAAAGACACUGACAAUGGCAGCGGUAUCGGCACCGGGAGUCGAAAACAAUUCUUGAUCACUCUGCAGAAGGCCCUUGCCGAUUUGAAGAUUGAAGAAGUAUUUGUUGUCAAACAAAUCAGGUGUUGUGACAUCCAGAUUAGUUAGAACGCUGCCGUUUCCACCUUGUGGGCAUAGUUGCCUAAGUUGUUGUAAGAGGGUUGUGUUAAGUGUUGGGUCUGGAUUGCCAGUGUUGUUGAAAUUGAAUAAUCUAUCGCUAAAAGUUCGGCACUGAGCCCUUCCAAAUGUGUGAGCUCCUGAAAAACAGGCAUAGCCAAUCUUUGUUAUUUUUACUCAAAUUCAUACAAUUUAUGGAUAAUAAUUGAGUUUCAUUAUUUUCUUUUUGGGAAGCAAUUCAAAUUUCAUGAUGUGAUUAAGGGGAGUAAAUUUGUCAAACGUUUUAACAUAUUCCUAAUCACCAAUGUCAAACUUUAGAACACAAUUUCUUCGCAUCAUUAGGAUAUUCAGUCAAGCCUCCUAGGUGCAGUAGAGUAAGAAUGUGCUUUGUGUCGGUGGUCGUCUUAGUAAGAGUAAUAAUGAUAAAAGAAUUGAUAUUUAGUGGAGGAAAAUGCUAAGUAUCAAGAAGAACGAGAGAAAGACGAGAGAAUAAAGCAUGUGCUGAGAGAAGAGAGAGAGAAGGCAAAACGGCAGCUUGGAUUGUAGUUUCUCUCGUCUUUCUCUCGUUCUUCUUGAUGUUCAGCAGCACUCGUUAGUGGAUGAGAUUUCUCAUCCUUAUCAAAAUUUAUUUUUUCUUUUUAAAUAAGAUAUUCAACAUUUAGGAUCAGACUAUGGUGCAACUGUUGUACCGUGCCACAAUUGCAUCCAGCCGUUGGAUGCACUUAGAUUGGUGGGGUCUACUGGCAUCCAACGACUGGAUGCAACUGUGGCACGGUACCACAGUUGCACCACAGGUUUCCCCCAUCAUUUAAACUAUCUCUAUGAUUUCAAGACUCAAUAUUGGCAUUAAAAAAUUUUCCACCUCCAGAUUUCUAAUUCUGUCUCCAGUACUGCUUUAUCCCAAAAGACUCCUAGGUCUGUUUGUACUCAAGUCAAAGGGUGUAUAAGCAAAUAUUACCGGAGAGUGCGACAAGAUCAAAAUUAUCGUUAAGGCCAACAUUUCUGAAUCUAUCUCUGAGCCUCUCAAGACUAUUGUUCGGUCCUGGAAGAUUUUCAUUUGCAAGAGUCCUGUUUGCUGUUCUGCUGUCUCUUCUUCCCAAUAGAUUUGUCCAUGAAGGACCCCCUGACUGUUACCAAAACCACGAUCAUUAGUCAAAAGCAUCACUUGAGAGAUGCAUAAUAAACAAAUUUAACUAAAAUCAGAAAUAGACAUGCAAUUAAUCUUUCCGACUCUAUUUGGCUAAUAUUUAUGUGGUUCUUGUUGCACCCAAAAUUAGCAGUUUCCCGACGUUAUAAUUUUGAGUGAACGGUUCAACCAGACUGUAUCAUAUAAAGAAGAUUUUUUUUUUUUUUUUCAAAAUAUAUACUGGAACCCAACACGUAAAACUGAUGUGUCUUCGAUGAAUCUCAUCACUUUUUUUUUUGUCUGGGGGCGCCGGGGGGGGGGGGGGGGGGGGGGAGAAGGAUAGCCUUCCCUUUUCAGUUUUCAUACGGUAAAGUUUGUCCAGGCACUAUCACGAAGUCAACAUGGUAAUGUCGGUGGACUGUUGCCGCCUAAAACUAAGCACGUGGAUUCAUUUAGUUAAUGUACUCAGGGUCUAAAAAUUCCAACACGAAUGUAAAGUCAAACUUACUCUCUGAUACCAUAUAAAUUUAAUCACUUUUAAGCUUAAAAUAUGUAGUCGAGCAAGAUGAGGAGUUGUUAAUAGAAAUUCACUACCAGAGCAACAGAUUCUUCAGCUGCAAUAGUAAGAAUAUCAGCACAGGAAACAACGCCUGGACAGGCCCUUUCAACGGCAGCUUUCAUGUCAUCAACAACUUCAAAACCCCUCGCCGAAUUAUUAUUUGGCGCAGCAAAUUUCUCACUCUCUAUGGUAGUAGUAUUGUCCAGCAAAAUCGAUGCAUCACAGCCCUGAAAUAACAUCAAAAACUUGUUGCGAUCAACUGCUGUUGUAUCGUUAAUUUAAUAAUUAGGUAUACGAUUAAUAAAAAUAAUGCAAACUUGUGCAUUUUCUUUUUGGAUAAACGUACAUAUAUACAAAUUGUCUUACUGCAAUAUAAGUUUUUAAGACCAGGAUUCCCUCAUGACGUAAGCUUUUCUUAAGCUUAAUUGUGAUUAUUAGAAGUUAAGGAUAUAAGUGUACGUAGUUAUAUUUCAAUCAUAUAUUACUAAUAAUGGACAUGUUACACAAGAUUUUUAAAAAUACUAUGCAGAGUUCAGAUUAGGAGAGGACUUUAAUUCAUGUUUUACAAUAUUAAUUGAAGAAGAAGAAAAAUGAAAGAGUAGAGAUUGAUCACAUUAACAAAACAGUCAUGGAAAUGAAGCCUGAUGAGGCUGGCACCGAUACGAAUAUCGGACAAGAAAGCAUUCUGAAGCACCUCCCGAAUUAUGUUGGUUACAUUAGGGCAUGUGGAAGAAUAAAAAAAGGGGGAAAGUUGAGCUUGAGCUGGUGAUGAUCCCUCAAGCACAAAUGCAACUACAAGAGCAGCUGCAAGAAGAUAACGAAGAGAAGCCAUUUUGCAAUGAUGAGAAUGAGAGUUAUUUCUGAGCCUUCUAUGUACGCGACUCUUUAUUUAUAGCCAACCAAACUAAACAGGAGUAGAACUUGGCAACGUCUUCUAUAUUCGCGCCUCUUUAUUUAUAGCCAACCAAACUAAGAAGUUUCACAUUGUAUUGUAAAAGUCUACUGUUUGAAAACAAAAGCUUAACUUAUAUGAUGAGAUAAUUACAUUAUCGAUUUUCUCCCUCUAGUUUGGUGAAAGCAUAUUUUUCUCCACAUACUUUUGAGGUGGUAACGAUCAUUUAUUAGUUGCAUCUCAGUAUUCUAGAAGUAUGUCAAGUGUAGCUCGGUUGAUUGUGAACGUACUUUGUGUCUGUGAUCACCCGAGUUCUAAUAAUAAUAUAGGGCAAAGGUUGUUAUUUAGUGGAUGAGAUUUCUUAUCUCCAUUAGAACAUUUUCUUUCAUUUUUCUUAUUAGACAAAAGAAAAUGUAAUACAACAUGGAUAUUAAAAAGAUAAGCUUAUGUAAUUCAUCUCACUAUUGGAUCUAACUUUUAAAGUAGGUAAAAUAUUUUUUAUCUUACAUGUAACUUAAAAUUCAAAUAAAUCUGACAUGUUAAGGUAAAAAAGGAGAAUAAUUAAGUAAAUAAUUUUGACUAAGACAUUUAUUUUUAAAUAUUUUUUUUAAAAUACAAAGGCUAGAUAGAUAAUUGUCUCAAACCUUAAAAGGUCAAAAGAACAUUUAUCCCAAAAAAAAAAAUGUGAGGAUAUUUUCACUGCGCUUUUUAUGUAACAGCACCAUGUCUUUUUAUAUUUUUAUAAUUACGAUUUUAUCCUUUAAAAUAAACUAUUCGAAACUCGUGCACUUAUCCUUAAAUCAUAUAUGUUUAACCAAAGAGAAUGAACGGGAAUUUUCUACGAAAGAAUUAGAUUUGUCAGUUUAAGAAAAUACAAUCACUACUAGAAAAAUGGACUUUACUGACACUUCGUUACUGACACUUUGCAAAAAGUGUCAGUACUUAUGUACAUAUGCACCAUUUUCCGCUUUUGACAAAUAGGAAUCAGAGAUUAAUGAUACUAGGGUGUCAGUAAACUAAACAUCAAAAAUCACUAACACUAAAGUAUCAAUGAUAAAAAAAAUUCAUAAAAAUUUUGUUUUAGCUCCAACUCGAACCUGGGAGCUCUAAGAUUUAAAGCUUUAAUGUUUGGAGCACAGACCAUCAAAUCUCGAUGAGUCAAAGUCAUAAUAAUAUUUAAAUUAUUAAAAAAUGAAAAUAUAAAUAACAAUAACAUAAAACACACUUGUUCUCCCCAUCUAGACUAUAUCGACUGUCUCUAUCUUGCUUUCAUCGUUCACUUUCGCUUUCGUUUUUCUCUUCUCGAUCUCUUCUGUUUUGCACUAUCCAUUUACAAAUUAAAUUCAAUUAAUUUAGAUAGAUAAUGAAAACCUAAAACUCUGAUUCGUUUUUCCAUUUUCCCCAAAUUGAAACACAAACCAAAACCCUAAUCGCUUGUUAUCGAAGGGGUUUUUCUCCAACUUAACCAUCCAGUGCCUAUACUAGGCAAGCAAGUAAAAGCCAUCGACAAGGGGUGAAGUGGCACCAUCGGUUCGGUAUUCAGGUAAUCUCAUUCUCCCUGACAAGUUAAGUCCAGAGAAAGAACUGUAGAGGAGGUUAUCAGCUGGUAAUGGCAGAAUGUUUUAUUUGUUUGUGCAAUUUAAUUAUUGGGUUUGUUUUAAUUUGGCUUAUGAAUAAUAUUUUUGAAUUUUUAUUUUUGGGUUGUUUCAGAUAUUCAGAAAUUGAACAGUCGUGCAACCCUGGUGGGUUUUGUUUUCCAAAUAUUUUUUUUAUUUAUUUAUUCGUAACUUGAAAUUUUUGUUCUUAUUUUUCUAUAUCUUCACUCACAUGCAGUCCAAAAAUACAGGCAUUUUAAGUGGUGCAUUACUUAAACUCAAAACACUUGCUGCUGCGACUCUGUUUUUUCUGCCACAUUUGAGGUCAGUUUCAAACUUUUGUGCAUGUGAUUUACUGUCAUUGUUAUUUAAAACUAAGAAUGUGCAUUUUUUUUAGUUUCUGAAAUAAACUGUUAGCUCCGUUUCUUAACUUUGAGCAAUAAGUUAGUUGAUUUUGAAUGUACUAAAAUAUGAAAUUUGAUUUUAGCUUUUGCCUUUGUGAUUAGGAGAUGAUUGUUUGGGUGUUAUAUUGGCUGAAUGACUGUGUAUUUAGUGGUUACAAACUAUUUACAUCUCUGUUUCAUGUAAAGAGAGGCAAAUUUUGUUAUAUAAUCCUACUUGUUUAUUUAUUCUGUUUUGGUUGGACGAUUUGUAAUAGAGACAAUGACUAUGAUAUGAAUUAAUUAAGUUCGUGGUUGUGAGUAUUGUGAGAUUGUAUAAAGUUGAUGAUUUGUGUUUGAUUCAAUAAAGAAAUGCUUGUUUUAAAGUAGUUCUGCAUGUUGUUUUUGAAGUUAAAAAAUGAUUUAUAGAAUCUUAAAAAAUGGCUUGCAAAGUGGUAUGAAGACAUUAUUUAUUUGAACUCUUAACUUUUGUUAGUUACUUGACUUAUGAAUUAGUUCGACUACUUAAAAAGCCAUUAGCACCCAUCUUACCUAUUAAUCUCCUAUUUAAGUUUCAAAACUUAUUUUGUUUCAAUUUCAGGAUUUUGUCUAAAUUAUUAUUAUAAUUAAUGAUUUAUAGGGCUAUUAAUGAUUUUCCAGAAUUAUAAGUUUAUUAUUACAACUAUAAUCAUAAUAACAUUGAACUUUAAAUUAAUCAUGCAAUUUAAUUAAACUUAAACUAACAUUACAUAUGUGAACAGGUAAAAUAUUUGAAAUGGACAGAAGUUGGAUAACUUGUGAUAGAUUGUCUGUAGAGUAUCGUUCUGGAGUUGCUGAUUUCUUAGAUUUUGCCAUUUUGAAUGUUGAAAAUCGAAUGUCAAUUAGAUGUCCUUGCACCUUUUGUUGUAACAUGGAGUUUCAUACUCCUCAACAAGUGAAGGAUCAUUUAUUUGAAAAAGGUUUUCUCCCAAGAUAUAUUGUUUGGACUUGGCAUGGUGAGACUGACUCUAAAUCUACAUUUACAAACUGUGAAGACCAUUCACAUAGUCAAAGAUUUAGAUGUCAUGAUUACAGUAAUAUAAUUGACAUGGUCGAAGAUGCUUACGAGCAUUGUGAUAGAGAUCCUAGUUCUUUUAAGGAUAUGCUUGAAGAUGCUGAAAAGCCUUUGUACCCGGGUGCAAAACAUUCAAAGUUAUCUAGUUUAAUGAGACUUUACAAUGUGAAAGGGAACUAUGGGUGGUCCGAUACAGGGUUUUCUGCUUUGUUAGAAGUCCUUGCUGAUAUUUUUCCAAAUAAUAAUACUCUACCUAUGUCAAUGUACGAGGUUAAGAAAACAAUGAAAGUGUUAGGCUUAGAGUAUGAAAAAAUACAUGCAUGUCCAAAUGACUGCAUUUUGUAUAGGAAUGAAUUUGCUGAUCUUGCUGAAUGCCCAAAUUGUGGAGCAUCUAGGUAUAAAAAAAAAAAAGAUAGCUCAACAAAAUUUAGGAAAGGGGUUCCUAAAAAGGUAUUAUGGUAUUUUCCACCUAUUCCUAGGUUGAAAAGAUUGUUUCAAUCACCACAAACAGCUCAAAAUUUAACAUGGCAUGCUAAUAAAAGAAUUAGAGAUGGCAAACUUCGCCACCCAGCAGACUCACCAGCCUGGCAACUAAUUGACAAUAAGUGGCCAAAAUUUGCACAAGAACCUAGAAAUCUCCGUUUAGCUCUCUCAACUGAUGGGGUUAACCCACAUAGUACACUUAGCACUACUUAUAGUUGUUGGCCUGUUAUAUUAAUAACAUAUAAUCUUCCUCCAUGGUUGUGUAUGAAGAGAAAGUUUUUGAUGUUGUCACUUUUGAUAUCUGGCCCUAAACAACCUGGAAAUGAUCUAGAUGUAUACCUAGCACCUUUGAUUGAGGACUUAAAAACUCUAUGGGAUGUAGGUAUUGAUGUUUAUGAUUCUUAUAGAAAAGAAACCUUUAAUUUACGGGCUGUCUUGAUGUGGACAAUUAGUGACUUUCCAGCAUACGGAAACCUCUCUGGUUGUACUGUUAAGGGCUAUUAUGCUUGCCCAAUUUGUGGGAUAGACACUUGUGCAUGUUGGCUGCCACAUAGUAGGAAAAUGUCAUAUAUGGGCCAUCGCCGCUUUCUACCACUCGGUCACCUAUUUCGGAAACUGAAAAAGGUUUUUAAUGGGAAGCAAGAGUGGAAUGAGCCUCCUAAAACUUUGUCUGGUGAGGAAAUCUUUAAUAUGGUGGAAGAUAUAGAUAUUAAGUUCGGGAAAAAGAAGGCCAAAAAGCGGAAACAUGAUGGCGGUGGUGGUGGUGGUGGUGAUGAGAACAUAACUGAAAAAUUGUACAAAAAAAAGUCAAUCUUUUUUGAGUUAGAUUAUUGGAAGCAUUUAUUAGUUCGCCAUCAAUUAGAUGUCAUGCACAUUGAAAAAAAUGUGUGCGAAAACAUAUAUGGCACAUUACUUCAUCAACCAGGCAAAACAAAAGAUGGGAUUAAUGCUAGAAAAGAUCUUGAGUCUUUGAAGAUCAGGGGAAAACUAGUUCCUGAUGAAACAAAUAAAAAAAACAAAGUCCUACCUCCAGCUCCUUAUACUUUGAGUAAAAAAGAAAAAAAACAGUUUUGUGAAACCUUGCUGAGUGUGAAAGUCCCUGAUGGGUAUUCUUCCAAUGUCCAAAACCUUGUUUCAAUAGAUGAUUGUCGGCUUCAAGGCCUUAAGUCCCAUGACUGUCAUACUUUGAUGCAACAAUUUCUACCACUAGCCAUUCGAAACUGUUUGCCUAUAAAUGUGAGAACGGCCAUAAUCAGGAUGUGCUUCUUUUUUAAUACAUUGUGCUGUAAAGUGGUAGAUCCUAAUACUCUUGACCAAUUGCAAGAGGAACUUGUAAUCAAUUUUUACUUUGUUUAGUGCCCACUGGGUGUUAUUGGCAAUUGAUAUGGUGAGACGUACAACCUAUUACCUUGAUCCUUUGGAAGGUAGUCCUGAUGAAGAGCUAAUGCAGAUUGUCAAUCAGUUAAGUUUGUUAUUUGUAUCUUUGAUCAUGCUAUUUUAUUUUUAUGUCUUAUGCUAAUUAUUUGCUAACGUUAGCUAUGUCUCUUAAUUGUAGGGGGAUUCGAAUACAUCAGAGUUUAAAUUCUGAUACAAAGGCCAAUGUUCAAUGGAUACCUGUCAAGGUAAAAAUCAGACAAACCUAACUAAUUAUUGUUAACGUACAGUAAAAAAUUAAUGUAAUUUUGAUCUUGUAGUGUCCGAGGCAGCCGAGCAGCUUUGAAUGUGGUUACUAUGUGAUGAAAUACAUGCAAGAUAUCAUCACAAAUGUGAACGUUCUGAAAAAUAAUGUAAGUAUUGAAAAUGAUUUUUACAAUACUGUAUCAUAUUGUUUUAAUUUAUUGUGAAAUGAAUCAGCUCAAACACCUGUGUGCUUCUUUACAGUUAUCUUUUUAUUGCGUAUUGUAUGCAUUUUAUGAACUGUGAGGGUACUUAUAAUGGUGACUAUGUUGCAUACUGUUGAAUAGAUUAUAUGAAUAUCCAUAUAGACAUGAAUUAGGAUUUGGGAUAUACACAAUGUACUGCAUAUCCCAACACAAAACAAUUGUUUGGGUUGCAAAGUAGUUGUUAGUGGGGAUGUGCUAUGGUGUCGUUGCUUGUACUUUACUUUGAUGAGGAUAAGUUGUCAUCCUAAUUAAGGUUUUGUAUGUACAUCCAUAUUUGUAUUAAAUCGCGUACUGUUGGGGUUCACAAGUUGCUUCGGCUAUCAAAUAUUGUUGUUGUUGGGGUUCACAAGUUUUUUUUUUUGGAAUUACCAUGAUCAGGAUGUUCAGUAUUUACCUAUAUAAUUUUGGAUAAAACAGUAACAUUGUUGGAGUUUAUUUGUUGGCUUUAAUUGUUAACACACAAAUGUAUUUAAAUGAAUGAUAAUUAAGUAGUUUAGUCAAGGAUUUUCGGUGAAUAACUUGUUGUUUUAAAAUUAAAGUUCAAGGGAGUUGAGGAAUACACUGUCAAAGACCUCUCGCGACUUCGUGAUCAGUGGGCUACAUACGUUGCCAAGUUAAUUACAGCCUACAAUCGCGAGGUAACAUACAAGUAAUUUAUGAUUAUUUUUCCUUAAAACAAAUCUGUGAUUUAUUUUUUGUGGUGUGCUAAUUGAUUUUAUAUACUUGUAGGUGGAAAAAAAAUGAAGGCAUAUGCGGACUCCAAAAUCAGUGACAUUGUUAUUUGUUUUUUCUUCUUGGCUAAAUUCUCCGAAAUUAAUUUAGUACUUUAUCGUGUAUACUACUUGUUCAAAGCUUAAUUUUGUACUUGAACAUGUUUUUUACCCCCAAACAAUGAUGUAUUUGAACUAUUUUAAUUUAACUAAUGUAUUUGAAAUGUGUAUUAUGUGAAUUGCAUUACAAGAUUUGGUAUGUUUAAUAUAUUUUGGGUUUAUUUUAAUUGUAAAAUAAACAUGAAUAAUGUCAUUAAAAAAAAUAAAACACAACCGGUAUAGCACCGUUAAUACUGACACUAAUUAUUUAAAUGACGAUAAGAAUUUUUUAUGUUACUGAGUCAGUGGAUUCCUGAUACUGUAGUCACAUAAAUCAGUGACAUGUAAAUAGUAUCAUUAAAUGCUAACGCGAUUGAGUCACUAUCCUUGUGACUCUCUAGUGACACAAAAUACUGACAUAAAAAUAGUAUCAACUGAUACUAACAUCAUAGUAUCACUAUGGUGGUGAUACUAUAGUGACACAAAAUACUGACGCAAAAAUCACUGACACCAAAGAUUAGUGUCAGUGUGUUCUGGCUUGAGCAUUACUGACACAAUUAACAAGUGUCAGCAAAAGUAAUUACUGACACUAAAUUGGUGUCAGUAAAGCCCAUUUUUCUAGUAGUGAAUAUUUAUCUUCUUGCUUUCCUUAUAACUUUCAAGGAAUAAUUCGCUGAAUUGUGAGUAUAUAGUUUUAUGGAUGGAAAAUUAAGAUGAAUAUCCAACUUCAAUUUAAAAAUUUUUUUUAUAUACUGCUGAGCUGGUUUCAUAACUGAUGAAAAUUUUGCUUUAUUAGGCAAGAAAAGUUUAAGAUUUUACAGUUAAUAUAUAUAGUAUUUUCUAUUAUGUAUGUACAUGUUCUCCCCAGCCGUGUGUUCUCAAAGAAUUGGCAAAAAAACUAAAAUGCAUUUUGAUUCAGAAACUACUGUUUGUGCAAUUAGAUGCUGCAAUGUAUGUCAUUUAUAUAUGGACAUGUCUUUCUUUUAAAUAAAAUGAUUCAUGGCAUGGCAAUAUUGGCAGAGUAGUUUAUGUACGUCCAUUUUGAUGCCAUUGAAACUUUAUUGAGCUACAAAGCAAGAAGUGCACCAUUUUUAGGCAUUAUGUAAGUUCAUCAUGAUUGCUUCUGACUCCCCCUUCAACUUUAAUGAGUCAUGUAGAUUAUAAAAAAUGAAGUUUUACCACUAACUAAAGGGAAAAGAAAAACGUUGGGCACGUAUGCUGCCGAAAAAUGUGUAGAAAUGGAAAAUCUAUUUGCCUACCUGCAAGGGUAAUAAUUGAUUCAGGGGGGCUUAUUUACAAAAUAAUAUGUUUUCAAUGAUUGGCAUGUGUGCAAUUAUAAUUGGGGUGCUAUUUCUAAAAAGCAGGACUGGAAAUAUCAGUAAACCAAAAAAAAAAAAAGUUCAAACCAGAACCACACUAAAAGUGAAAGUGUUUUUUGGCCAAACUUUGUGCAAAACAAUACGCAAUUGGCCCCUAUUGUAGUUUUCUGGUGACUAAGGGUGAGAAAUUAAAGAACAAUAGCUCCCCAUUUGUAAUAUCCAAAAUUUCAUUUGUUUGUGAAAAAAAAAAAAACAACUUAAAUUCCGAUCGACUUAAUUAGGUUUGAAGAAUUCAGCAUUGAUAAAUGAUAAUGUUGGAUUUAGUCCAUGCCAUGCGAAUGUCGACAGUAUGUGGCGUGUGGAUUCCACAUACUCGAAAGUCGAAACCUUUCAUUUCAACCUGGUAGACUUUUAUCCUUUUUUCUUUAUUUUGAAUUAUUAUCUUGUCAGUUUAUAGAUAAUUAAUUAAUUGAUUGAAGCACAAGUAGUGUUAAAAUAAUUAAUUACGUGAUGAAUGACAUUUUGAAAAUGAUAUGUUUUUGCCAUUUUUUUUUUAGAAUGUUAUGCUGUUAAUUUUUUUCGUAUUUGUUUUAAAAAAUGAAAAUUGAUGUUUAUUUGUGAUUUCAAAUCUCGCCUCUGAUAAAGUAUUUUAAAAAUUGUAAUCUUAAUAAAUAAAUACCAAACUGGCUUUUGAUUCCCGGAUCUUUUAUUUUAAGUUAAGAGAAUUAAUAAUUGAACUGAUUUGAAAUUUUGAACGCACAAUCUAAAGAAGUUUUCAAUAAAGAAAUAUGUUUAAUAUAAUAUUUGAAGAAAGAAAAUGUUACGCAACAAGUACAAAAUCGUAAAAGCAACAUUAAUUUGUGCUGCUUAAGCUUUCAACUUUUCUUCAAGAAAGUAAAAAGUAAAAAGUAAAAACUCCAUUUCUGUCACUUUCCAUAAAUCCUUCAACAACUUACCGAAUUUUAUUCUGGCCUUAUUCUAUCUUUCCUUUUUUUUUCCUAUUUAGAUGGAAAAUGGUGUUUAGUUUAGUGAUGAGGACAAUAUCUAAUAUCUGCCAAAAAUAGAAAAAUUAUCCCAAAACUACUUUGAAAGAACUUUGGGAUAAUUAAUUAAAUGUAAUUGAUCAAUUUUCACAUCUUAAACUUUAAACCCAUAAAAAGUCAGACUCAUAUAUAAGUGAGUUUAGACUAUCUUUUUAUGUGAUAAGAACUAAAAGAAAAUGUUCGACUUACACGUGACAAUGAGUGAUGGGAAUCGAAGCAUAUCUCACAACUUUUCUAUAGCUAAUAAAACUAUAGCGUUUUUUCAUGCUCUUGUAGGUGGAGACUCAUAAAUAUUUUGAAUUCACUUGUACGAACAAAUUUGAAUUACCUUUGCAUUUCCAAAAUGAAUACUCCUAAUUGAAAAAAAGCGAAAAAGAAAAAAAAACAUAAAAAUUAUAUGUUCUUACUAAAACUUCAAAAAUUUCUUGGGAAUAGUUAAAUAAUCAAAUACAUUUGAGGCAUCAAACAACAAACUUCGACCAUAAUCGGAUUGAUUUUGCAAUUAAACACAACGGAUUUUGUUUCUAUAUAUCACCGAAAGUUUAAAGACUUAACAUAUUAUACGAGUAUUGUAAUUCAAUUAGUUAUUCUCCCACAAAAUGCAUGUCCUACGUACAUCAAGAUUUUUUUUUUUCCUUGGUCCUGCCCUUGAAUUUUGUACUGAGCUUAAAAAUGGUUCUUAAUUUUUCCUUUUGUUUCGAAACUCUCACCUCCUGCUCUUAUUAUUAUUAUUCAGCCUUCUGGUACGUAACUGAGACCAAAAAUGUCUGUGGUCUCAUUAUUUGCAGUUUAAUUAUAUUUAAAAUGAGACGAUUUAAUAACGCGUUUUCAUGAAGUGUAUAUAAUAUAAUAUGAAUAUGAUUACGACAUUACCUGAAAUUUAAGGAACUGAUAAGUACAUAACCUGUUUAAAUAAUAUUGUAUGGAAGAUUUCCGAUUAUAAUUUAAAAUAGAUGUUUCUUUCAAUCUUUGUCUAUAAUUCAUUGUUCAUAUGACCCUACGUCAAGAAAAUAAAAUACAGAAUAUCUAAUAUCUGAUAUCUCUAUCCAUAGGCAAAUAAUUUCAGGAUUUUCUGGUUAACUUGUUAUACAAAGCGUUGAGAUGUGAGUAAAUUACAUUUGGCCAUUAUGUCACCAAAAUAUGUCUUUUUUCUUUUUGGCUUAGAUUAAAAUUAUUGUGCUAAUAUUCCUAAAUGAUCUUAAAACUAAAAGUUUGUCGAAUGACAAGAUCUUAGUUAGUUGUUUGUUUGUCAAUAAAUUAGUUAACCUAUUUUGUAAUCUGAUGACUAAGCUGUAUAUUUUUUGCUCACUCAAAUACAGGCAAAUCUUCAAUGCUUGGAAACUCUUAUUAAUAAAGAAAUGCAAAUAGCUCUUCUCAAAUUAAAUAAAGACCAAUUACCCAACAAUGCUUACUAUUUUCUUAUGUAACGUGAUUGUGCUAAUAAAGUUAGGUGGGGAGAAGAUAUCUUUACACCUAUCUGGAAGCAUGCGCCUGUUUGGAGGGUAAGAAAAUGAUAGAAAUUAAAUGCCAAAGAAAUAGAUGAUGCAAAGAAAGAGGAUAUAUUGUUGAUAAUUGUAUGAGUUGACUAGCCCAUUUUACACGUGGAAAGUGGCUUCGGUUGGUGCAUGCAUGAGAUUUGUUUGAUUUUAGAUGAUGAUUUCAAUCAUUCGGUUUGAAUUUAAAAUUUUUAAUAAGUUAGAAAUAACGAUGCGGCACGGUAUAUGCGUGGAAUAUAUCUCCCUUUGGACUUUUACUUUUUCAUGAUUUAAAUUAAUCAAUCUUGCGAUUUAUUUAUAUCUUUAUGUGAGCCAAGUGUACAAGGUACUUAUAUUUUAAGAAUUUUAAAAAGGUCGGUGAAAAACAGAUUUUUAAAUUUUAAUUUUGAUAAUAAAUUUAAUCCUUAAUGCAAUUCUACCUAAGUAGUUUUGUCUGAUUUACUUUUAAAUUCCAACAAGAACAGACAAGUCUAAUUACCUACUUCAAGUGAAAAGUGCGUUGAGUGAAUUUCAACAUAAAUAAGGAUGGUUUGAAUAAUUUUUAAAAACUCAUAAGCUAAUUGCAUAAUUAGCCGAAACCUAAAAGAAUAAAAAGAGUGUUUACCCAAAAAAAGCUAAUAAUUAUUGGACUAAACUAAAAGCUCUUAAUGCUUUCCAAUCGUCAACGUUCUCCGAAUUUGCCAGUCCACGAUUAUGCAUUCUCAUUAAUUUCAAUCUUGCUAAUGAACGUGAGAAAUCAGCUUGAUAUUCAUUUUACUAUUCCAUUAUUUUAAUUAAAUUUGAUUAGAAAAGAUUUGCAUUAUAAUGAAGAUUUGGUGAUUGAAAUUCUUUGUAAAAUCUCUUUGGCGAUUUGAGUUUGUUUGUAAAUCUUGGUAUUGUUUAAUGUACAGGAAACCUAAGUUUCAUUACAAAACACCUAAAAAAGGUCAAAAUCCGUCUAAUUUUUCAUUUAGAUAAUUGAAAAUGGUGAUUCAUAUGAUUAUCCUAGAAAUUUGUUUUUUAUGUUUCCUGAUGAUACAUUGAUAGACUUAUCAUUGCAAUAUCUUGAUGAGUAUCUCCCCAGGCUUGUCGCUGGAGUCCAUCUUCUCUAUUAGUAUAUUUGGAGUUUAAUGUCACCGGGUAAGUGUUUUGCGCAACGAACCCAUACGGUACUUAGACAACUCUUGCCGAAGGUUGCUAAGUAAGCAUUUGAGCUUUUCAACUAGCUAAGCUUAGAGGUUUUCGAAGAGUUAGAGAUAAGAGAGCAAUGGAGCCGAAAGAGUGAAAUUGUAUUACUCACAAGAGAGAUUACAAGAGAGCUUACAAGAAUGCUUGAAUUGCUUACUCUAAGCUUGUAACUCAAAUGCCUAAUGACAUGCCCUAUUUAUACGGGAGGCUUGCCAAGCUCUACAAUUCUAGAGAAUUAUACCAAGUCGCUUAGAAUUCUAGAUAUUUACAUAAGUUAGAUAUGUGUAGAGAAUUCUAGAUAUGUACAAGCUUGAGUGUGCUAAAGUUGUCUAGAAAUUUCUGGAAUCGGGUCAAUCUAGCACUCUUGACCUUCUCUUGGGCUCUUGGCCUGGAAUUGUGGACAAUUGGGCUAGCAACUUGAGCAGUUCGCAACAUUAAGAUCACUUUCUUAACGAAAUCUCUUAUAUGGGCUCCAGUUUCUUCAAAAGGUUAUUGUCUUAGAAUAAAAUAUAGUAGUGGCUGCAUGUAUUCAAUGGCGGUUGUGCACGUUUCCAUUUUAGUUGUUCAUGUUCCUAUUUUCAAGCAAUUUUCCUCUUUUGUAGUUUUCAAUCUCUUGGUAUGUGUACAAGUCUAUUUAAGAGGCCUUAUUGAACUUGUACCGGGGAGAAUAAACAUUGUCUUUUUCCUUCUAAUCAAUUCAUAUUCCUUCUCUGUUUCUCUGGCUUCCCUUUCUGAACUGAAAAUUACUUAUCAAUCUCACAACUAUAGAUUACGGAAUUCUCCCACGUUAUAGAGCUACAGGUCCACCGAAAACGAACAUUUCUGCACUCGUGUUGGAUUUGAUUGAAUCCCAGACGCAAUGACUACAAGUUGGUUUCGAUUAACUCAUUUCGCUACAAAAGCACAAAUGAUGCGUGCUUGCAUUUGCAUGAAUUCUCACUUUGUACAGUAUAUAAAACCUAAGUACUAACUCUUGGAGGGAAUUAAUAUGCUUCGAAUCAAAUCAUUUUGAUAACUCUUUUAAUUCGCCGUGCAAAAGCUUGGAUGGACUUUUUACUGUUCAUCGAAUUUGAGUGAUAAUAGUAACUACGUGCCUAAUGAUUAUUUCAUUUGACAUGGCAAUGAGGUGUUCCAAGAGAUUUAGUGCCCAUUCAGUAUUGUUGGAUCACCUUUUGUGAUGAUCAAAAGGUGAUAUUAUAUGAACCGCACUUGGGCUUAGGAGGAAUGAUGUUUUUUUUUUCUUUUUUUUUUGUGUAAAAUCAGGCUCUCCAAGUGAACAGCUGCUGUUGUAUGAUCCUGAUAAGUGGUACCCAGGAAUUGAGAGAUCUUGGACUAAGAAAUUUUUCUUUUUCGGUUUAUAAAUUUAAAGAGAGUCUAAUUCCUGUCAAGGGAGAAGAUCGAUGUAUCAAAUAGACAGAUGAGGAUUCUGACAUGAUAUGAGAAAAUUAUAUCUGCUCUCCGAUGAUAAUAGGCGUGCUUUGCUCUUCAUGACGUCAAGCUUUCGAUGAAAUGAAUCAAAUAGUAACCUAUUUGGCAUCGUUAAUCCUUGAAUUUGUAUCAAAUUUUAGUGAAUUUCAAUUUAUCAAUAGUUGUUUUGUAAGUUGAUCGAACACAUCCGUUGUUUAGAUUUGAUAUUAACGAACAUGAAGUCGAAAGCUACGCUUAAUUAACAAUUUAUAUUUGCCUUUCUUUUUAACGUUACCCAUCGUGCAGCUGAAAACUCUUUGCAAGCCGGUUUGCCAAAUGGAAUAAGUUACCCGAAAACCGAAUACGAGAAGGCAAUAAAAGUUUAUAAUGUUAACCCGAACUAAUGUGACGAUUUUCUUUAGAAGUCACAUCAAGUUAAACGUACUUUAACAUACACGAAUAACAUAUUAACUUGAUGUGGCAGAUUCAGGGUUCCUCACAUUGCUAAAUUAAAAAUGGUUAUAAGGAUCUUUUAAAAGAAGUAAUUAAUUACAUGCGUGGAUACCCGAACGAAGCAAGAAAUUUCAAUCAAUGGCAACAACACAAAAUUGAGGGGAAGAGAUGCAAAUGUGAAACGAUCAAGUUAUCCGGCCCAAUUAAGGCACUGUCUCCUCUGACGAAGUAAAAAAUAAUCUGAUUUUGGUGCCAUUAAGAAUAUUGUAAAACUAGUUUUAGGAGGUGGCAAUUUGGGUUAGGAUUCAUUUAUUUAAUUUGAUUUGAUGCAAACUAAAUCGGUUUAGAUUUGAAAAUUUUGAUUCGUUUAAUAAGUAGGUGAAUUCGAUUCGAUUCGCUAAUUAAACGGGUCUAAUCCGGGUUUGAGGACAUUAAUUCGUUAACUCGUUUAGUAAAUGAGUUAUAAACGAAUCGAAUAUGAUCAAUCGUUUAAGUUCAUUUAAUUAAACUAUUUAUCUAUACUUAAAUAUGCAUGAAAAAACUUUAAAGUCUAAAGGCUAAUAUAGUAAUUAUAAAUGAUAAUAAGUUUGUAUUGUAGGAUGUUAAAUUUAUGGUCUUUUCAUAUUUUAUUUUACUUAAUUUUUGUUUAUUAAUUAUAUUUUUGUAAAUAAAUUCAUAUUCAAUUCAAUUCCUUAUAGGAUAAAACGAAUUGUAAACGAAUCUAGAUUCGAUUUGAUUCGUUUAUUAAUUUUGAAUUAAACAAAUCGAACCAAAUAUUCAUUUAAUAAAUGAAUCGAAUCCGAAUACUAAGAUUUCAAUUCGUUUAAUAAAUGAAUCGAAUCUGAAUUAGCAGAAUUUUGACCCAAUUUAUUUACAAUUCGAUUUGAAUACAAUUUGUUUAUUCAUUUUGCCAACCCUAACUAGUUUAUUGUGUUUUCAAUUAAAUAUUACAUAAACUACACACUAUCAACGUUAUAUUGUACUUAUAAUUUUUUUUAUUUUACAUUAGCUCGCUAUAUUGGUUUUGAAUGUAAAAUGAUAAAAUGCUUUGACAUACAAAUAUGGUUGGAAAAGUAUCAUAAUAAAUUACUAUUUUAAAGCAUAAUUUUGAAUGGAUCUACUUUGUGUAGGUGAAAAGUAAUAAGAUGUAUUUUUAUACUCAAAACGAAGAUAGGGUGAAUGAUAACACACAAAUUACACCAUUAAUUGCAUUGAGUAAGAGUUGGAGUUACAAAAAAUUGUAGUAGCGUUAAAUUUAAAAUUAAUUACAAAAUCAAUUCCAGAAUAUAUCACUUGUAACUGCCAUUAAUUUGGAAUUUAUAAUAGCCAAUUAAAUUUAAAUUUUAAUAUGAGAUUAAAUCCCGAAUUUAAUAUGUGGUUAAUGAAACCGCGGUUACAUUUUAAAUUUAAUUUAAGAAUUAAAUAAAAGGUUUAACGAGCAACAAUUAUACUUUUAAUUAGCUACGGUACUUAAUAAGGAAUUAAAUACAUCAAUUACAAAUUUAAGUAGUCAAAUUUGUGGAUAAAAAUGCCUCUCAUAGAAUUCUAUGUUUUGACGUUCUUCUUCAUUUCAAGAAAGUGGCUAGGAACAAUAUAAGAGAAAUUACGAUAGAAGAAUAAGAAGAGAAGAACUUCAAUACCUCUAUCAUAUAUCCAAUUUUCAUAAAGUUUAGACACUGUACAAUAACCUCUUGGUGCGCCAGAAUUAUUCAUUACCAUUGUCUGCAGGAAAAUAGGCGUUGUUUAAAUCCUAAAGCACUUGAUACCAAGAGGCGAAUCCGUUUUAAUGAAGCUAUAUUAUGCAGGCAGGGAUGGUAAAUUAUGGGCUUGGGUCAGACUUUUUCAAGCUCAGGCCUAAGUCCAUGUUAUUAGUAAUAGGUCAACACCCUCUAAAAGUCUAUACAAACUUGGACGGUCCAAGCUUGCUUCAAUUAAUUUUUUAAAUAAAUUUUUAAUAAAGUUAAAAGUUAACAAUAUUUAAAUUAAUAAUUAUUAUCCAAUACAUAAUACAUAAUAGAUAAAUAGUUAAAUACAUAAAAUACAUAAAAUACUAGCAACACAAUAUAAUAAACCACAAAUAAUAUUUAUAAAUUAUAUAUUAUAUGUUUUCAAUUUAUAAAUUAUAAAGCCCAUACGUUAUCUAUAAACAAUUAACUAAGCCCAAUCACAGUAGGCUUUAAAUUUUUUUGCCCAAAUCCUUGGCGUCACGAAGCAACCAGAGCCUAAAGCCCACAGGCCUAGGUUAGGCCGACCCUAACUUUUUUGUCCACCCUACAUUAAGGCCUUGAUUGCAUCCUAUUUUUAUGUCAUAUUUUAUGUUGUUAUCUCAUUGUUGUAAUCACUAUUUUAAUUGGUAUAUCAUUGUUUUAAUUGUAAUCAUUGUUAUUUGUAAACUCCCAAUUUAUGAUUUGUAAUUUCAGAAUACAUUCCUCCUAUUGCAUUGUAUUUCCCUUAUGAAUACUUGGAAAAAGAUAGGAGCUAUUGGACCAAAAAAAAUAACACCAAAUCCGAAUUUUGUUACUAAGAUAUAAAAAUUCUCAGUUUCCUAUAGUUACAAAACCACAAUAUAUAAGUAAAAAUUUCAAGUCCCCAAAUGUCAAAAAUUGGUAAAAAUGCGAGGAUCAUCAUUACCAAGUACGCUAUGACUUUAUUUUCAUUAGUUUGCCGAAAGCUUUGAAACAAUUUAUUUUUUUGCCAAAAUAUGAAUCCGACGGCAUGAAACAGAGCACCCUUAUCAUAUUUUCUCAGAAGAGAAUCUUGGCCUGUUUGUUCGAUACAUCAUCUUCUUCCUUAAUUGAUAUUCGACUGAACAGACUCUCUUCAAAUUUAUAAACUGACAAGUGAAAACUUCUUAGUCCAAUUCUCCAAGAUCUCUCAUUUUUCCCGGGGAGUGGAAUUGAAGAGUCGGAUUCUGAAAAAAAUCCAAUUGGCAAAUAUUUGAUAUUAACGAAUAAAAAUUCGCCCCAAAUCCUCUCUUUCAUUACCUAUAUUUCAACAUUAGCAUUAAUGGUAUUAAAAAAUAAUAAAGAUAGAUUGUCAUCGUAUAUGUCAAGUGACACAGAAAAUAAAAAUAGAAGGAUAUUGAUAAAACAACAAUAUAAAAUGAACAAUGUUGAAUAAUAUAAAUGACAUUUGGAACAAAAAUCAUAAAUGACAUUUGCGGUUUUGAUCUUGGUAUGGGCUUAAGUCCACCCAAAUUGCUAAUCUAAGGAUGCAAUUCCUUAUAAGCUGAUCAUUUACAUCCUUCCAAGCACUGUGAGAUAUUACAUAUCCUAAUUUCGUACAAAAAACAUUGGAUUGUGUGUUUCUAUUUAUAAGUGUGCAGGUUUUGUGUUUUCUGUGAUUUCUUGAAUAAGUAUGUAAUAAGACUGCAAUAAAAGAUUUUCCCAAUUUUACUUCUCAAUAUGUUCAUUAAUUGGAUCAAAUGAAAUCAUGCAUGAACUCUUAUGAUAACAUUUUUUGACCUACAUUUCUCAUUAUUGGUUUUGGCAGUCUCUUCUUUUAGCGAACACUGGCAACAAAACAAGAAAAUUAAAAAAAAGGGGGAAACUGUUAAAUUCAUAAUCGCCUAUUUGGUUAAUUUGAUGUAUUUACGUAACUUAUAUUACAGUAGUUUCUAAAUUAACCAGCCUAUCUGGUUAAAUUAAAAAAAAAUAAUGUACUUAGAUAAUUAAUAAUAUAUGUAAAAUUACUAAUAUAACCUUUUCCUAGUGCGGUUCUGGUACGCGUUUCCUACUACAGUUUUAAUUUCAUUUACGAAACUAGUUUCCUAUUCAAUUAGGGUAAUUGUUAUUACAUAUAUAUAUAUAAUGGGAAUAGGAAACUAUUCCCUAAUUCAGUACGGCAAGUUAUUGUCACAUUAUAAAUAUCCGUACAGAAAAAAAUUUGGUUCCAUAUAUCGCACUGAAAAAAAAUGGAGCAAUACGAAAAGAUCAGGGAGCUUGGGUCGGGGAGUUACGGCGACGUGUUUCAGGCUCUUGAUAAAAAGAGUGGUGAAUUUGUUGCUGUCAAGAAAUUGAAGAAGAAGAUUUUUUCUUUGGACGAGAGCAGGAACUUGAAAGAAGUUAAAUGUUUAAGGAAGAUGAAUAAUCAUCCCAACAUUGUCAAAUUGAGGAAUCUUGUCAAAGAACACGAAGACGUAUUCAUUGUGUUCGAGUACAUGGAAUCUGAUCUUCUAAAACUUAUGAAAGAAAGAGCGGGUCAAAAUUUCUCUGAAGAUGAAGUCAGAAACUUGUGUUUCCAAGUGUUUCAAGGUCUCCAUUACAUGCACCGAGAGGGUUAUUUUCACCGUGACCUAAAGCCUUCCAACUUGCUUGUUUCGAAAGGUGUGAUCAAGAUAGGGGAUCUUGGAAUGGUGAAGGAAAUCGAUUCUAAUCUGCCGUGCACUGAUUAUGUUACAACUCGCUGGUAUCGAGCUCCUGAAGUGUUGCUUUUAUCCGAGAUAUAUGGACCUGAAGUUGAUAUGUGGGCGAUGGGUGCUAUUAUGUUCGAGAUGUUGAGUUUCAGGAUUCUUUUUCCGGGAAAAAAUUCGGCUGAUCAAAUUUACAAAAUCUGCCAAGUGAUUGGAAGCCCCACCGAGGACUCUUGGCCUCUUGGAAUUCAACUCGCGAGCAAUCUCAACUGGAAGUUCCCGCAGAUGAGUGGUGUGAAUAUGCGUGAGUUGUUACCAUCAGCUAGUCGAGAAUCCAUCAGCUUGAUUUCAUGGCUUUGUUCCUGGAAUCCACACAUGAGGCCUACGGCUGCGGAAGCUUUGGAACAUCCUUUCUUCCGGAGUUGUCAUUUUGUUCCUCGAUCGGUGCCUCUUCUUUGCAAUAAUUUUGAAGCCGUUGCGUUCCCUACUGCCACAGUCACAAUGCAAGGACGUUCUUUGACAUAUUCUGAGGUACCGAAUGAUGGGCAAUUAUGUUCGUGCUUCAAAUGUGAGAUGCAAAGGACUAACAACGAUCACAUGAUCAUCAACUCUGCCAAACCGGCAACCUCCAUGAUUUAUAAAACUGGUUACGCGACUACAACUGAGAUUUUGGCUUCCCGCAUGCAACCGUUGCAGCAGCUGAUGAUGUCGAGGCCUCCCGGAUUUUGAAGAAAACGUUAAGGCUGGUUAUUGUAUUUGUACUUAGAAACCUAACCACGCACGUACUAAUUGUACAUUCAAAGAUUAUUCAAUGCAUUGAUAUUCAUCUCCUCAGGAGUGGGAAUCCUGAAGAGUGGGAAUCCUGAAGAGUGGGAAUCCUGAGAUUAGGAGUGUGGAAUGGGAGUGGGAGUAGGGUGUUUACUUAGACUAAAUGAAAAUAUGGAUUGUCAAUCAGAAUCCUAAUUAUUUGUUUACUUUGUCUUGGAUUGGGAGUAAAUUAUUUUAAAUUACAAUUUUAUCCUUAUGUAUAAAAUUAUAAUUUGUAAGUAAAAAAUAUAUUUGGAAAAUAAAAUAAAUAUUUUAUUAUAUUUAUAAAUUAAUAAUAAUUACUAAUAUUCUUAAAUAUGUAAAUCAUAAUUUUUUAUUAAUUUUAAUUUAAAUUAUGUGAAUAAAAAUUAUUAAUAAUAGCAACACAAAUGAAAUAUUAUUAUUGAUAAUAUAGUACAAAAUUAAUAUUUUUAAGAAUAAAAUAUUUAUUAUUAUUAAUUAAAUAAUUAAUUAAUAUUUAUUAAAAUUAAUGUUUAAUAUUAUUAAUUUAAAUAUAAUAUUUAUUUAUUUUUAUUUUAUUAAAUUUAAUAAAAUAAAUAUGAUGUAAUUAUUUAUUUUAUUAAAUAUGAUAUUAUUUAUUUAUUUAUUUUUAUAAGGAUAAAAUGGGAAGAGGGGGGAGUGGAUUCCCACUCUCACCUCCCCCCAUGGGAGUGGGAAUCCCACUCCCCACUCCAAAAUUGGGUGGGACCCACGGAUUCCCACUCCCACUCCCCCCUUUUUUAAGGUAAGUAAACACUGGAGUGGGAGGAAUCCACACUCCACACUCCUACUCCAGAAAGUAAACACUACCUGAAUUCAGUGAAUAUAAGUCCAUGACCAUUUUUUUUUAAUAAGUUAUGGUCAAAUGUGAGAUGCAAAGGACUAAUAAUGAUGCAAAUGAAAAUUAAGAACACCAAAAAUCUAGAAGAAGAGGUUUCUGAAUUGAAUGGGGAGGUAGAUUCCAUAGUGGAAAAAUGAUAACUAAGACUAUCAUUAAUUAUAAGUAUCCAGCACUUUGUUACCUUCACGAUAAAUAUGUGAUACAUUAUUCUAUUAAACGAAGCAAGUAAAGGCAAUUAAACCAACAAGUGUGGAGUUGCCAUGGAAGAGAGUAGCCAAAAUUCAGAAGACAUUGAGUCAUAGACAUGGCGUCACAUUCAAUCCGAAGUUUAUGCCAACCCCUUAACCAUGCUUGUCCAAUAGCAAGAAUAACUACCAUAAAUUCAGAAUAAAAAUAGGAUUCAUGACCAAUGAACGUAGAACUGCCAAGGAAGGUUCCAUGAUGAUCUCUAGAAAUUCCCCCACAAGCAGAUAACCUAGGAUUAUUCUUACUGUUGACCUUUAUCAAAGUUGGAGGGGGCGCCAUAUCACUGUAGCUAUUUUCGAAGCUUUUCCAAAGCUUGGAUCAUUACCCAACCGGGCAAAAAUUGCCAGAUCAUGAAAGUGUGCAACAGUACUCCCUAGGCAAGAUUGACAGAGUAAAUAUUAAAUUUUUACAGUAAGCCAUGGCAUUAUGAAAAGGGAGAGAUACAUCUUGAAAUCAAAUAUAUUCAUUUUUCGUUUUUAAAUUAUAGCUUAAUGGAAACCCAGAUAGCACCACGUGAGUGGAUUCAAACCCCAAAUCUAUUAUUUCAAAUCAAAAGAUUAAAAUUCACCAAUUGAUCAACUAUAUAUCUAGCGCCUAACUAUGACCAACCUCAAUCAACGGACGUCCAUCAACUAGAUUAAUUCUCAAAAACCUGAUACUUUCUGUGUGUGGAAGAAACAAAGUCCUCAAAGAAGAUAACUUCACAAUAUAUACAACUCCUUGCUAACUCAAAUUUAAGCCAACGCCAUGUUUGAUGAAAAUUUAUGAUUGCGGGUUGUGAUUCCAUUUAUGCCAUAAGAAAAUCAAAAGGGUAUGUUUCGAAUUAUGAUUGCGAAAUUCCAAUUUGCAUUGUUGUUUUGCAACAAGCGCGAUACGAGCUGCAUAUGUCAUUUUUAAUAUAGUAAAAUAAAUCUCUACAAUAAUUUGACAACUAAUAAUGGAGGGCAACUAACUGUUAUCAAAGUAAAACGUAAUAAAUCCUAAAUCAAGGUUAAUAUAUACCACAUCAAAAAUAUUUUAUUAAUUAUUUAAUUAUUUAAUAAAUUAAUAAUUUAAUUACAUAUUAAUAUUUACUAAAUUAAUAAAAUUUUUACGGUGCCAAUACUAUGUAAAUAAAUCUAAAAUGCUUAUUAAUUAAUUGAUGGGUUCAAGAUGAAGUUUUCUGUUGUGGGAUUUUUAAGUGUUGUCAAUUUGUAAGCGUUCAGGUUUCGUGGGACUCGUAAUAGGAGCAAUGAAAUAUGUUACAAAUUUCACGUCUCAAUGUAUGUAUUCAUGAAGCGUGAUUUAAUGAAAUCGAGCUUGAAUUCUCAUCAUAACAUUUUGUUUUUUAGCUACAUUCCUCUUUGUUACAACUUACAAUUGGUUUUAGUCUCUCUGUCUUGUUUUACUAACCAACAGAGAAAGAAAAAGUAAAAAGCAUUAACCGGGGGAAUUGUUAGAUUUCUCAUGGCCUAAUUUGGUCAAAUAUUGAAAUUCGAUGUAUUUACUUAACUUGCAUUACAUUUGUUAGUAAUUAAUUAAUCAACCUGUCUAUCAAAAUAAAAACUAAAACAAUUGAUGUAUUUAGAUAUUAAUCGUACAGUGUAAGUCACUAAUAAACCUUUUCCUAGUGUAGUUCUGAAAGGAAUUUUAUAAAUUCAUUUAGGGAACUAGCUAGUUCCUAUUCAAUUAAAGUAUUAUUAUUACAUGUAAUGUGAAUAGGAAACUGUUCCAUUGUUUGGGUGAUAAAAUAAGGCGAUCAGAAUCGGGAUUUUCUUAAAGCUUGACUCUGUUCACCUCGCCAUCCCAAGCAGCCUAGAGAAAGCUGGCAAGUAGGGUUAGGCAAGAAACCGAUUGAAUUAGGAUGAAACCCGGUCAAAACCACCUUCCCGUCUCAUCCGAAAAUGCAGGGAUUAGGUUUAUCAGCAAAGCUCCUAAUUCCAUGAUCCUAGGGAGCGAAAGAGAUAUGAUCGAUCUAGUCCUAUGUAUAAAUUGGUUUUUAUAUAUAUGGACCGAGAGAGAGAGAGAGAUAUUCGAAUAAAUUCAUAUCGAACAUCAAUUCCUUUCUUUAAUUAGAACAUAGCACUUCUCUUGUCCUUUAUGGCAUCUCUCUCACUAAAGUCAAAAGUGUUGGCUUUAUUGAUUCCAAUUUAAUGAGAUGCAUGCUUUAAGCAUUAUUAUUGAAAUCGUUUAAAAUUACGAAAAAGAAAGUCCAGAACAAUGAUUAUACUUGCCGUUAGAGAAAUCGUUUGACACAAUAGUACGAGAAGUACGGAAGCAAGCCCCUGUGAAUUUUAGGUGGACCUCAUGCCUUGUACCAGGCAAGAAGCAAUAACAAAGGACAAAUAUACAAAAUUGGGAUCUAAAUAAUGACAUAUGUAUAUUAAUAUAUACAAUAAAAUUAAUUGAAGUAAAUGAUUUGUUUAUUAGCCCUUUUGCCAUUUUUUUGUCCUUAAUUUGUACACAUACAAUCUAAUUUAGCACAACUAAAUUGUCUAGUAAUACAGUGUGAGUCCACUCAUAUAAAAGUUAGGAAAUUCAUUAAAAGAAAAUCUAAAACUGAAGAUUGCCAAGGCUUAGUGAUCAUAAUAGUAGCCCAAAAAUUUGAUUAACCAUGUCUUGAAUAUUCUCUUAAUUAAAUGAUACCUCUAUCAAAUGUGCACAUGCUUCAUUAUGAGGAUUUUCGUCAGCUUAUUUAAGACACCGUGCAUCGUAAUAAUAGGUCGUCAUAGUAGGUUUUACCACUUGAUAUCAUACAUACUAGAGCUUCUUGGGGAAAAAAAAAUCAACGGGUGCCUAUAGAUUUGUAAAUACUUAAAUCAAAAUAAAACUUCGAAAAAAAUAGAAACAACCACCACAAAUCUAAACCUAUAGAGAGAAAUUUGUCCUUAAAACAAAAGCAAAUUAGAAGAUAAAACUGCUAAUAAAAUAAAGAAUCAUUUGCUUUUCCGAUAAUGAGAGCCAAAGCUUCGUAAGAGGAAGCUGAGAAAGGAGGGAGAAGUUGAGAGUGAGGAAAUGAUCUGGUAGGCUUCGCACGAUUAAUAAGAAGAUUAUAUGAAUGAGAAGCUAUUAGAGAGUGACUGUUUGAAGUAAAGAUUUCUUAGAUUGAUAACUUAUACAAUACUUUCUUUAUAUAUACAACAGAGUGAUCCUUGAAAAGAAAAUUAAGAUCACAUGAAUUAAUUUGGAAUAUAAAAAAGGGACUAAUUGGGUAAUCUUUCAUUUGUAAUUUAUCUCUAUGAUUUCCUCAAUGAACUAGCCGUUUGAGGACUCUGUUGAUUUGUCUUGGUUGUCUUCUUUAAGAAUGAUUGAAAGCCCUCAGCUAAAGCAAUGCAAAAUGCCAUAUUUGAUUUACCAAGAUCGUUGCCAUGAGUGUUACUUUGAAUUCUGACGUUAUCAGCUAUUUGGCUUUUUUUUUUUUUAACAAAGAAAAUUAAAUUUCUUUGCACCCAAAUGCAUAAUUUAUGCUCUUUCAAUGUACCCUAAAUAAGUUAAAAAAACAAAAAGGAGAAAAACAAGGAAAAACUUAUAAAAGAAGCUAGUUGGCUUUGAAAAAAAAAAACAAGAGAAAGAGACGCCACACGUAUAUUUCUUGGAAUUCAUUCAACACCUGCAUUAUAAUUCGAUUGGUUAAAAGGUACUUAUGACUAGAAUUUAAAUUUGUUAAAUAUGUUUCAUUCUAAAGAAAUUCUAAUUUAAUUAAAGAUGAAUAAAUAAAUAAAUGAAAAGUGCUGAGCAAUCACAGACAGAAAAAGUAGGAGAAUAAUUUUGUUAAAAAUUUAAAAGAGAAAAAAUGUUAUUGAGAUUACAGCCUUAUUCAUAGUAGACUACAUAUUCAGACCAAUCAAUAAGGUGAAUCAACUCAAAGCCUACCAGCAUAACGAACACCAAACUGACCCAACCACCCCACCCGAAAAAAAAAAAAAAAACCACACACACACAUACAAAUACACAGACAUUAGACAUACAAUAGCUUCACCAUGGAAAAUUUGAGUACAUUCUUGUAUAAAAUCACAUCUCAGUUAAGGAAUUAACUGCCCUGCAGUUCUUCCUAAUCUCACCAUUAGUCCCAGUGAGUGGACUUAUAUUCCCCAUUUUUAUCAGAGAAUUAACAAAAUCAGCGAAGAAAAGAUUUGCGUUGCUGCUAUAGCUUUCAACAAGACUCUUAGUAGUUGAUUUGGCCUCAUCACUAGAGUAUAGAAUUUGAUCAGAACUUAGAAGGCCCUUAUUGUUGAUCAAGUUCUGGAAGUAAUGGUUGUCAAAUAGAUCAAUCGAGUUCCGAUCAAGCGGCGUCGUAUUGUUUCCGUCCCCGUUAGCACAUAGGCUCUGCAAUUCGGACACCAAGCUUGUGUCCAUUGUAGCGUCUGGAGCACCUGUUCCUGAGAAGUUGGAUAGUCUAUUGCUGAAGAAGGCACAGUUUGCGAAUCCAAUUGUAUGAGCACCUGCACAUAAACAUUAAAAUUACCAAGCUCGCACAUUAUGGGAGUUCAAAAAGGGGUCCUGGGAUUCCUAAUGCAAACUUUUGGGAUAUUUUUCAAACAUUGAGAAAAUUUCGGAUAGAUAAAUGAUAAUUUUCUUAUUUUAAUAAUUUUAAAUAAGUUAAACUAGUAGAGGAGCCAAAUUUAUAUAGAAUGUCAUUACUUUACGAUUUAAAGUGAUCCCGAACGAAGGCUAAUUAGUUAUGAGUUGAUACAAAUAUAUGGUGAUAGAGAGGUCAAAUAAAUUACCUGACAAGGACACUAGGUCUUUAAUAUUUAGACCCACGGCUGCAAACUUGGCAGUGAGAAUGUUUAGCCCCUCAAACGGUGAAGGAAGAGCAUUGGCACCUGUCUGGUUUGCCACCAGUCCAUCUCUUCUUCCCAGCAGAACUUUCCAUGUAGGUCCUCCACUCUGCAAAAUAUUGUCAUAGCAUUUGUAUAAGUAAAAGUUAACCUCAUAAAGUUCAAAUAUAAAGAGAAAAUUUUAAUUUUCUCAUACCAUUAGAAUAUGAAAAAAAAAAAUUCUUUAUCUAUUAAUUGGUAGAAUCCUGUGAACUAAGAUGACUUAGUCCCUGCUUGAUAAUUUAGUUCAACAGUUCUAUCUUUUAAGACACAAUACUAAAGUAUUUGGUAAACAAUUGUUCUAGUGACUUUAAAAUUAAGUUAAUUUUGUCUCAAAUUAUUAUGAUGAAAAUUUUAUAAUAUCUCUAUUGUUUUUGUCAAAAUUAUUAUUGAAAAUCAUAUUUACUAUACAUUAUCAACCUUUAUUCUAUAGUUGCUACUUUUUUCUAUAGUAGCUGUGGCUUAAAAAAUAUGAAAUCCCAAUAUCAAACAAGGUCUCAAGUUUCUCAUGUCUCUAUUUCUUUUAGUCCCAUGGAAUCUAUAUGAGAAGAACAAUUAAUCAACCAACUUACCAAGAGCACUGAAUCUCUUGCAGCUAUGGCUAAAAUAUCAGCACAUGAUACAACUCCACUGCAUUGACCUUCCACGGCAGUUUUUAUUGCGUCAAUAACUUCAAAUCCUCGUGCUGAGUUCCGGUUAGGCGCGGCAAACUUCUCACUGUCACUUCCAUCCAAUAACACUAAUGCAUCACAACCCUAUAACAAAGAAGGAGAUCAAGUUUAUAAUAAUUAUAAUUACCAAAUGAUGAAUAAUUUAGGGAAAAAAUGAUAGUAAAAUUAAAGAUACAUAAAUUUUAUUUAUUCAUAAACUAGUGUACAGUGUACUAUACUUUUAGCCAUGCAAUGCAAGAUUAAAGCUGCUUGAACUGAGAAUAUAUAAGUACUUAGAUCCAAAAAAGAAUAAAAAUGAAACUAUAAUAUGUUAGUCUUGACUCAUGAAUUAAACUAAAAAAUCAUUUUUGAGUUUGGUAUAUCAUUCAUUCUUUUUCACAAGUAUUCUUUAGAUAUGUCACGUGAAUUAAAUCCAAACAACUCAUACAAUUAUGUGCAAAUUAUAUUUAAUUUGUAUUCGAAAAUAUUCGAGCAGGAGACAUUUAGGUCAAAUAUAUAUGCUGUGGAUCAUACUGAACUACCAAUUUGACUUAAUAUUAGUAAAAGCUUAAAGGCAGGUGCCCAACAAUCUACAGUAACUUUUGAACACUUAAGAUAUAUGCUUGGCACAUCAAGUAGUGAUAACUCCGGAUUUAAUCGUUUUCCAAAUUUUUUUAUAAAAGACUGCUAGCAAUCCAUCAGGCCCUAGAGUCUUCGUUGGACACAUCUAUGCUAAGGCUUCAACAACUUCCUCUGUUGAGAAAGGCUUGUCCAAUUGCUCGUUCAUGUCAUUUGAGAGCCUCAGUGUUAUCCCUGAAAGAGCUGCUGCUAUUUGGUUCUAGCUCGGUCUGGAUGUGGUGAGCAGAUUUGUGAAAUAAGUGCAAAACUCAUACUCCAUUUCUUCAACAUUCUCAAUCCAUCUUCUUGUUUCAUCUUCAAUUCCCCAUAUUCUAUUCUUUUUCUUCCGCGAUGAGGCUUUAUGAUGGAGAAACUUGGUGUUCUUAUCCCCCUCUUUAAGUCGAUUCGCUCUCGAUUGUUGUUUCCAGAAAAUCUCUUCAUCGGCCAAUAUGUUAUGAAUAUGUCUUUCCACCCAUUUAAUUUCAUCCUCAAAUUCAUACUGCACCUUUUUUCCUUUAAGCUCUACAACUGUUUUUUCAACUUCUUCAGUUUCUUUUCUCUCCCUUUAAAUUCUUCCUUACUACACAGAAUCAAAGUAGCCAUGGAAUCUUUAGUCGCCUUCUGGGAUAAAUGUAUGGGAUCAUCAAUGUUCCAGCAUCCAUGUUUAUGCCAUUCUUCUUCAAUUAUACUUUUACAGGUGUCAUAUGAACUCCACAUAUCUUCAUAAUGGAUUCGUGAAGUUCUCCUUCUUUGAUAAUUCAGGUCAUUACCUCUAUCCUGAACAUCCAUCAACACUGGGUUGUGAUCGAACAUCCAACUCUCAAGAUUAGCAGCUACAGAUUUAAUAAAUCUCUCACUUCAAGCCUCAUUGCAUAAAAAUCUGUCUAAUCGUUCUUCCACAAAGUCAGGGCCAAAUAUUCCAUUAUCCUAUGUAAAUAGAUAUCUCAUGUAGCCCACAUCCUUUAGAUUACAAUCUCUUAAGGCUUCUCUGAAGUCACUAAUUUGGUUUGGAUUUCUAUCAUUGCCACCAUUCAUCUUAUAUAGGUGUAAAAUUUCAUUAAAAUCACCGAAACAUAACUAAGGUGUGGAAGAUAAACCUAAUAGCCGUCUCAACAAUGUCCAUGUGUGCUUUUUUUGCUGCAUCUCCGGAUGUCCAUACACCUCUGUACAUCGCAUUUGCUUUUCAUUGCCCAUUUGUUGUUCAGCAUCAAUGUGGUGCUUACUAAAUGACUUAAUAUGCACACAAAUUUCAAAGUUCCAAAGCAUUGUAAGACCUCCUCCCCUUCCACUACCAUCCACAGCAAAACAACUAUCAAAAUUUAGCUUACUACGAAUCGUAUCCAUUUGCAUAGAUUGUAACUUUGUCUCACUCAAAAACACAAGUUGAGGUCUAUGAAUUUGGAGAAUUUGUUGCAUUGCUAGGAACAUCCGGGAAUUCCCUAAACCCCAAACAUUCCAGCUGAGGCUUUUCAUGGCUUCUAGCAUUCUUGAUCGCCAGCCUCCACCGAUAUCUCUUCUAUGUUUGAGUCUGCAAUUUCUAUUCCCUUCAUUGCCAACGGUUCCCAGCUCAAAUUGAGUUUUGCCACUGGUGAAUUCAGCUGAUAUUGCUUUGUUUCUAAUUUGGGUAGGCUAGUCACUUUCAUCUUCUUUUGUUUUGGACUUGGCUCAGUGAGCUCACAACUUGGCCUUUUUAACACCCCUAACCUAUAUUUGUUUCCACCAUUGGAGUUUGUGCUUUGGGCUUGUAAUUUCCAUUUCCUUCUAUUGGGCCUCAUUGGAGCUCUUCGAGACCAAUUUCCUGUCUUUGCUUCAUUCGCGCCUUCUUAGCAAAGUAUCUCCUCAUAAACUUUAAUUGGUGUUACCUCCAAAAAUUCUCGCUUGUUUUUAACAUUUUUAUUUCUCGCCUGAACUCCCAUAUUUCCAGGUCCUCUUGCGUUUCCCUCUAUCUCAUGCUGCUUUUUGCCGCCUGCUUGUUGUGCCAUUGUUAUUUCCAACACACCAUUCAUUAAAUGUUUCUCACAUACUCGUUCCACCUCAUCACCUAUAGCUAAUUUAUAAUUUUGACCAAUUUCUUCCUGAUCGAGUCCUGAUUUGGUUUUGUCAAUCGGGUUACUUUGACUCUGUUGAGGUUGUUGUGAGCAGUCGUGGUGUUCUGAGUUUGCCGCAUUACUCACUGAUUUGCCACUAUCCCUAUUCCAUUUCUCCUUGAUACGGUGCUUCCUUGAGCGUCCUCCCACUGUAACUACCUUAAUCCACAUCUCAUAUGGAAGUUCCUCUUUUCAUUGGCCCUGAUACUUAGCACACUCCUUGAAUUAGUGGCCAAUAACUCCACAGUAGAAAUAAAAGUCAGGCAAUCAUUCAUAAUCUAUAUGCAUUGGAAUAUCUGUUUCAUCCUCUUGUAAGAUCUUUUCUAAUGGCUGAUUCAUAUUGAUCAAAAUUCUAAUUCUUACAAAUUCCCCAAUAUAUUCACUAUAUUCUUUUGUUUCAACCUCCUCUACUAUUUCAAUCUUCUCGCCCUAAUUCUUGGAGAAAAUAUCUUUCCAUACAACAACCGGGACAUUUUGAAUCUGCACCCAGAAUUCUGUAUGAGUGAAAGACUGUUUUGUGAUCUCCCCAAUUCUUUUCAGUUCUGUAAGGACAAUUAAGGCCCUAUCGAAGUGCCAAGGGCCUCCUGCCAUCACCCUUCUUUUAUCAGCUUCAUAUGCAAACUUGAACAAAAAGAUAUUAGCACCCAAGCUCUCUAUCAUAACUUCUUUAAUUGUCCUCUAAACUUGCAGUAAUGCCAUAUUCAACCCCUAUUUAUGAACUGCUCUCGUAAGAAGUAUCUUGCCCAUCAACUAGCCAACCAAAACCUUCUCUCUUUUUUCUUUCAUUCUCACUUCUAAAGUUACUCUAUUUUUUUCUUUCUCUUUGAUAGUUAUCGCUUUACACUUACGAAUUAAUUCCUCUGUAUCCAUAACAUUUAAAACCUUUCAGAAAUAAUUGUUGCAUUCACUGUUCUAAAAGUAACCUUGCGUUCAAACCCCUUACCUGUAACACCCUAGACAAAUCCCACAUCGGCAAAGCACAUCAGAGAUAAUGGGUUUAUAAAGGGUGGUCCACACGUUAAUUGGCAAGAUGCAUUUUGGGGUGUAUGGGCGCCGUAGAAACAAACAUGUGCGGGCCUUGUUAAGGUCCAACACAGAUAAUAUCUUACCAAGUCUGGGUUGGGUCAUAACAUUAUGGUACUAGAACGGCUCUGCAUGUCCUCUUAAGCAAUGGUGGGGCAAACCUCAGCGAGGACGCUGAGUCCCCAAUGGGGGUGUAUGUAACACCCUAGGCAAAUCUCAUAUCAGCAAAGCAUGGGAGAGAUGCUGGGAUUAUAAAAGGUGAUCCACACCUUAAUUAGUAAGACGCGUUUUGGGGUGUAUGGGUGCCCCAGAAACAAAAUCGUGCAGGCCUUAUUAAGGCCCAAACUGGACAAUAUCUUGUCAGGUCUGGGUUGGGUCAUCACAUUAUGGUAUCAGAGCGGCUCUGCGUUUCCUCUUGAGCGAUGGUGGGGCAAACCUCAGCGAGGACGCUGAGUCCCCAAGGCGGUGUAUGUAACACCCUAGGAAAAUCCUACAUCGGUAAAGCACGGGAGAGAUGUUGGGUUUAUAAGAGGUGAUCCACACUUUAAUUGGCAAUAUGCAUUUUGGGGUGUAUGCGCGCCCCAGAAAACAAACUCAUGUGGGCCUUGUUAAGAUUCAAAGCGGAUAAUAUCUUAUCAGGUCUGGGUUAGGUUAUGACAUUAUGGUAUAAGAGCGGCUCCAUGUUUCCUCUUGAGCGAUGGUGGGGCAAACCUCAGUGAGGACGCUGAGUCCCCAAGAGGGGGUGUAUGUAACACCCUAAGCAAAUCUCACAUCAGCAAAGCACAAAAGAGAUGUUGGGUUUAUAAGGGGUGAUCCACACCUUAAUUAACAAGACACGUUUUGGGCCUUCUAUAGGCGGCCCAGAAACAAACAAGCACAUCUAUUUUUUCAAAAUUAAUAGUUUAGUCUUAAAUGUGAACUUAUUUGGUGGCUGCAAAUUAUGAACCCAUUUUUUAUUUCGGUGAAAACGAAAAUGUAAAAUGCAAAACAGAAAAUGUAAAAUUAUAUAAUGAAAUAAUGAAAUAAUUAAUGUUUUCCCUAAGAUAUAGUAAAAGCAUAUGUUUCACCACAAAAUUUUGAAGCCGCACCGGUCCUCCCAGCCGUUUUAUUUAUUUAUUUAUAGUCUUCACAGAAAUGAAACUAAAACUCUCCUCACCCACGAGUGGUUGAAUCUAAGCCACUUAAAGUUAAUAAUUCAUGAAAUGGUGCCUUUGUUUGGUGGCGGUCGCGGGGCCUUGGCCUCUGAUUAAUAUUAUUCUUUUAGCGUGUGAAUUCCACAAAUCAAAACCCUUCGGAAUUUUAAUUAUUAUUUACCGAAAUAUCAUUUUCCCUAUGGCUUCUACAUAUUAUGCCUAUAGCUAGUGAUUGUUUUGUAAUUCAUAUAAAAAUUUAAUUUUAGAAUUGUAACUAUUUUAAUUAACUGAUGUAAGGUAAAUUCCUUAACAGAUAAAUUCAUCUAUGUUCUCUUAGAUUAUAAAAGAUAAAAGUAGCGUAAUUAAGUUCAAGAGAAAACUGAUUUUAUUAAAUUUCAAGGACGAAACGAAAAAAAAUAAUAAGAGAGAUAAAAGAAUUUCUAAGAGAACAAGAUUAUCAUUCGACAAAUAAAUUUAAAUUCAUAAAUUUUUCUGCCCGAUCUAAUAUUAAUUCUUAGCAGCAAGCCUACGGCACAAGCCACAUAUAUGCAUAAUUUUUAUUGGUUAAAACGUGACAUUGAUGAUGUUGAAAGAACAAAUAAUAAACAAUAAUACAGUAAAACCUCCAAAUAGAAAUACUUUAUAUAUGAAUAAUUUCUUUAUAGUAAUAAAAAACCGUGGCCCCAAUUUGGGACCAGUUAUAAUUAAAAAUAAAUUUCACAUUGUAAUAAGUUAUAUUUUUUUAUAGGUUCCGACUUAAUAAACUUACUUUCACAUAGUAAUAAUAUUUCAAAAAUAUAUGUCAUGUUACAUUAAAUAAUUAUUAAUUUAUUAAUACAUGACAUAAUUUACCCCUAUAUCACUUGCAUUAGUGAUAAUUAAGUAAAGACAAUAAUUUUUGUACUAUACUUUUAUUGAGUUAUAAUCUCUUUAUAAGAAUAAAUUUAUCCGGUCUCAACAAUAUGACUAUAUAGAGAAUUUACUGUACCAGGCUUUUUUAUGCGUAUAGAAGCAGGACGUGAACACAAAGACACAAGUUUAAUUAAUUUAUUUGAAAAUACAUAACAUGUUUCAGACAAGAAAAUUAGAUUAAACUCAACUUUGAUAGUUAAUUUAUUUGAAAAUACAUAACAUGUUUCAAACAAAGCGAAGAUUAAAUUCGAGUUUGUUAAGCACAAAAACUCUCUCGCAUAUGCCGCAAGCUAGCUUUUUAGAAAGAGCUGACCAAAUCACCCUCCGAUGAUGAUGAUCUUGUUGCAAUAUUACUGUUUCCAUUGACCCUCCUGCAGUUCAAUCUAAUCUCCCCUUGAUUUCCUGUCAGUGGUUUCAAAUUGCCCAUUCUUAUCAUUGAGGUCACAAAGUUUUUAAAGAAAGCAUUCUGGUUCCUCCCAAAGUCCUCGACAAUGGCAGCGGUAUCGGCACCAGGAGUCGAAAACAACUCUUGAUCACUCUGCAGAAGGCCUUUGCGGAGUCUAAGAUUGGAGAAGUAUUUGUUGUCGAAAACAUCAGGUGUUUUGACAUCAAAAUUAGCAAGAACGCCGCCGUUUCCACCUUGUGGGCAUAGUUCCCUCAGUUGCUUUAGCAGGGUUCUGUCCAGUGUCGGGUCUGGCUUGCCAGUGUUGUUGAAAUCGUAUAAUCUGCCCCUGAAAAAUCGGCACUGAGCCCUUCUAAACGUGUGAGCUCCUGAAAAACAUGCAUGCCCAAUUUUGAGUUAAGUAUACAUAAAUUUAAGGCAUAACACUCAUUUCUUAAAUUAAUUUUUGAGCGUGCGUUGCUAGUACCAUGCUCUUUUGACUUUUAAAAGUCUACUCCCAUAACUUUACUCAAGUAAUUAAAAGGAUGCAGAAGCAAUUAACAAUUACCGGAGAGUGCAACAAGAUCAAAAUUUUCAUUGAGGCCAACAUUUCUAAAACUAGAUUUGAGCACAUCAAGAGUAUCAGAUGGUCCUGGAAGUUUCUGAUUUGCAAGAGCUCUGUUUGCUGUUCUGCUGUCCCUUCUUCCCAAUGGAACUGCCCAUGACGGACCCCCUGACUGUAACCAAAAGUCAUUCACUCAAAAUCAACAAUAAUCUUAAGAGAUGUGCGUUUGGGGCGGACUAUUUAAUUUGCUAGCCGUUGAAUCAAAACUUUGUCGUAUAACAAAAGAACAAAACUUUUAAGUUUAAAACUAAGGCCUUGCUACGAUGCACCAGCGCAGUAAAAAGUGUCUCACUGUCAGUAACAAUUUAUCCCUUAAUAAUCACUAUAUUGACAUAUGUGUAGCAAUUUUGGUACCACACAGUGUAGCUGAUGCACCAUAGUCAAUAAGUUACCCCUUUUAAAUAAGGGAAAAAUUGUGGUGCAAAUAUGGUACCGUGCUAUUGUUGCAUCCAGCUAUUAAAUUCUAAUAGACUCCACUCAUCCAAGUGGAUUCAACGGCUGAAUGUAACUGUAGCACAAUAUCACAAUUACACCGUAGCCGAACCCUUUAAAUAAUGGAGUCCACUGCGUCGUCCCAAUUUAAUAAUGAUGGGUCCAACUAUGAAUCCCUUCACUUAAAUCAAAGGCUAAACAUGUGGACUCAGAUCUUGCACAUGUGAAUAAUUAUUUAAUUAAUGUAUUCUUCUAAGGGUAAAGUUGAACUUACGGGUUAUUUAAUUAACUGAAAAAUAAUAUAAAAACAUGUUUAAUUUAUAGGGGUUAUUAUUAAUUGAAAAAAUAAUUAAAAAUUACAUUAAUACUGCAAAGAUUUACCAUUAUUCUGUUCACUUAUUUUGAUACCCAUCUAUAUAUAUAUAUAUAUAUAUAUUUCAUGGCUUAAAUUACAUCAACUAAUUAAUAUAGGAAGUCUCUUUCAUCUUCCAUCAACAAUGCCACUAUUAGAACCUAAUUUUAAUAUCAUAAUCAUAUAUUUAAUUAUGCAACAUUUUGUUUAGUGACUUUUAGCUUCUUCAAACUCUCUAAAGAUUAAGUAUUUAAGAUUUGUUAUGUUUAAGUCUUUUUUUUAUUAUUUAACCAACAUCCUCUUUAGAAAAGAUUCUUUUGUUUUUAUUUUUUGAUUUAUUUGAAUUUUUAGUUGAAUGAUAAGGGUUAGCCUUUGUAGGAAGUGGGAGUCUGUUACUACUAAGAAGAAUGGAGAAUUGAUUAGUGUGGACAUAAUUUUUAUUGAUGAAAAUGUUGUAUAAAAAAUUCAUUCUCCUAUUGUUUUCCUUUUUUUCCCAAUUAUUUUACACUUAUUGUAACUUUUUUUUAUAGGAAAAUCUAAUGCAUGCAACAAUCAGGAAAAAUUUAGUGAUAAGGUUUAGGCAUAUGUUGAGUAAGGGUUCUUUGUACAGUGUCAAGAAUUUGAAAGUUGUUUCAACUACAGGCGGAUACAGACUACUUUCAAAUCAGUAUAAGAUUAUUUUCUUGGUUAUAACUUCGCUUAGGAGGUUAGUAGAGGAACUGUUAAGAUUCUGAUCAAUGGAUUUCAAUUUGUAUCUCCGAAUUUGAUUGAUUUACGUGUGAAUGAUAACACAAUCCUCUUAGGUAUUUCUUUUAAUUAUUAAUGUUUGUUAAUCUUUAGGUGUAUAUUAGAAAUUAUUGAUCCUUAUGUUUUGACAUGUUUAUGUUAUUUUUCUAUGAUAUUACAAAUGUUGUCGAAAUUUUAUGUGGUGUGAGUGAUAUGAGAUCGUUGGAGCUGGUUGGAGAAAAAGAGAUAUAAAAGUUCUAACAAAGUAGUAAGUUGAAUAUAAUCAAGAAAACUAUGACUAUAUAUUUUUUUAGUUAUUGUUUUAUCACAAGAAUUAAUUAACAGUUUGACUUCACUAAUCUUAUUAGUUAUUAUCUAAGUUUUAAUUUUCUUUUACAAUGAAUACAUCCAAUAUUUGUUGAAGAAAAACAGUUAAAAGUACAAUGAAAAAGGGUAUAGCACUUAGAGAUUAUUCAACGUAUUCACAAGAAAAAUUAAUUAGAAAAUAUUAAAUUUUUUUCAAAGCCGCGCGAAGUGCGGUUUUAUUUCCUAGUAUAUAUAUAAAGCUGGGACUACAACAGGUAAUGUGACAUCAUUAUUUCUCAUCUUCUUAUAUUCUCUAUUAUCUAAUACAUUAGUUGAAAUUAAAAAAAUAAUUACAUUACAAAAUAUUAAAAAUAGAAAAUAAUUAUUAGAUUACAAAAGAUUACAUGUCUCUUCCUCUUUCUGUUUAAAUUCAACAAUAUGUAACCAUUAAUAAUAAUUAAUUAUAAGUCUUGAAACAUUCAUUUAUUUUAUUAUACCAACAAUUAAACUUUAAUGGCUUAAAAUACAUUAAUUAAUUAAUAUAGGAAGGAAGGUUCCUUUAUUUUCUCUCAACAAUGUCAUUAGGGCCUAAUUUUAAUGUCAUAAUCCUAUAUUUAAUUAUGCAACCUUUUGUUUAGUACUUUUUGACUUCUUCAAACUUUAUAAACAUUAAGUAUUUAAUAUUUGUGGCAUCGUUAUUUCUCAUCUUUUUAUAUUUUCAUUAUCUAAUAUAUUGGUUGAGAUUAAAAAAUAAUUACAUUACAAAAUAUUAUAAAUAAAAAAUUAUUAUUGGAUUGCAAAAGAUUACAUGUCUCUUCCUCUUUUUAUUUAAAUUCAACAAUAUGUAACUGUUAAUAAUAAUUAAUUAUAAGUCUCGAAACAUUCAUUUAUUUUAUUAAGCCAACAACUAAACUUUAGUGGCUUAAAAUACAUCAACUAAUUAAUAUAAGAAUGAAUGUUCUUUCAUCUUCCUUCACCAAUUAUUUUAGGGCUUAAUUUUGUUAGAGUGCAAUUUAUGCACUAGUUUUGCAUUGUUUACUUCCCUUAAUAUCGAUGUUUUGCACUUAAUAAUAAUGUUUUACUUGUGUUUUACUUUUGUAGGUGCAAUUCUAUUGAUUGGUGAUAAAAUUGAGCUAAAAGAUGAUGUUUAAGGAGGAUUGUUCUCUUGGAGAAAUUAUGAGCGUCAGAAGAACUUUGUUGGUAAGGCGUGGGCGCGUGCUGUCAAAUGCGGACCUGCAGUUUUUAGUUUAACGUGUUUUGUAUUUUUGGUUAUUUUUGUAAUUACGAAUUUAAUAUUUUAGAUAUUAGUAUUUUAUUUUAAAUAGAAUUCUAAAAGAGAAGAGAGAGAGAGUAUUUAAGGGAGGAAUCUAUUGUGAAGAGAGGGGGGAUUUGGAUUGGAGAAAAAGAAAGAAACCCUAGAUCUUAAUUUUUCUCUUCUCUCUAUAAAGAACUAAACCUAUUUUUCUGGUUGAAGGAUAAUGAAGUUUUGAUUCAUCACUAUUGUGAGAUCUUUCUUGUGCUUUAAUUGUUUUAUUACUUUUUGGGUAUUUGUUUAUUCUCUGAAUUAUUUUCAUGAUUAUGUUUGUUAAUUAGGUAAUUGGCCACUAUUUAAUUAUCAACUUAAUCUAUUGUCAAUUAAAGGAUUCAUUGUAUGAAGAAUUUAAUGUUUGUGACAAAUAACAUAGCAGAGAGUUGUGUUGUGAGAAUAAACAAUCUAAUUUAAAUGAAUCAUCAUAUGUGUUGAUUAGGAUUUGCGUCUCUCUGGUUUUUCAGGCUGUCAAUUGAUUAAAUCCUAUGAUCGUAUUUAGGGUUGUCUAUUGAUUAGGGAAAUAACCAACGGUCGUACCUUGGUUAUCGACUAGUUAAGGAGAGAUUGGCUAUUAGAGGGUCUCAGUAGCUAUAACCGGUCUAUUCAUAAGUAAUAAUAAUCUAUAUUUGAAUCAAUGAUCAGUAGUCGAAUCAAGCUGAGUUAAUUCCUUCAACCAGAGCUUUCUCCAAUUUGAAUCACAACUUUAAUUUACAUUCUCGUUAUUUUAAUUUGAUUUUUAUUAUUGUCAACAAUUCCCCCAUUUUACGUUUUACGUUUCCAAAGGGUUUAAAUAAUUACCGAUCUCUGUGGACACGACCCUGCUCAAUCACUAUACACAAUUUAUUUAGAGUAGGAAUUUAUUUUUGUUGGCUUCGACACCCAUCAAAUUUUAAUGUCAUAAUCUCAUAUUUAAUUAUGCAACCUUUUGUUUGGUGCCUUUUGACUUUUUCAAACUCUAUAAACAUUAAGUAUUUAAGAUUUAUUAUGUUUGAGAUUUUUUUUAUUAUUUAACCAACAUUCGCUUUAGAAAUAUUCUUGUGUUUUUAUUUUUUGACUUAUUUAAAUUUUUAGUAUUGUGUGCUUCAUGGAGCACUCUUUUCUUCAUGAGUUGAAAAAUGAUAAAGAUAAUUGGAUGAUAAGUGUUAGGCUUUGUAGGAUAUGGGAGUAUGUUAAUACCAAGAAGAAUGUAGAAUUGAUUAGUGUGAACAUGAUUUUUAUUGAUGAAAAUGUUGUAUAAAAUUUCCUUCUCCCAUUGUUUUCUCUAUUUUUUUCCAAUUUUUUUACACUUAAUGUAGCAUUUUUUUUUAAGGAAAAUCUAAUGCAUGCAAUAAUUAGGAAAAAUUUAGCGACAAUGUUUAGGCACAUGUUAAGUGAGGGUUCUUUAUACAAUGUCAAGAAUUUGAAAGUUGUUUCAAUUACAGGCGAGCACAAAUCACUUUCAAAUCAGUAUAAGAUUAUUUUAUUGGUUAUAACGAGGUUAAAAGAAGGAACUGUUAAGAUUCCAAUUAAUGGAUUCCAAUUCAUAUCUACGAAUUUGAUUGAUAUACGUGUGAAUGAUAACACAAUCCUCUCAGGUAUUUUUUUUAAUUAUUAAUGUUUGUUAAUCUUUAAGUGUAUAUUAGAAAUUAUUGAUCCUUAUCUUUUAACAUGUUUAUGUUAUUUUUCCAUAAUAUUAUAAAUGUUGUCGGAAGUUUAUGUGGUGUGGGUGAUAUUGAGAAUUUUUGGAGUUGGUUGGAAAAAAAAAAAAGAGAUAUAAAAGUUCUAACAGAUUAGCAAGUUGAAUAUAAUUUGGAAUUUCCCAACAACUACAAAAGGUAUAAGGUCUAUACACUUACACUAUACACAUUAAUAUAUACUUUUAAAGUUAACAAAAAAAUAAUUAACUUUCAUAAAUAACAUUAGUUUUAUAAGACCGCCUCAUCUUUAAAAAAAAAAUCAAUUCAUAUUUUUUAUCAGUUUUAUCAAGUAUAAAGUAAGAAAAAAGAAUAAUAUUAAAUUUUGUCUUUCAAAGCCACGCGCGGUUCUAUUUUCUAGUAUUAAUUUACUUCUAAGCAUAAAAUAUUAAUAAGGAAGAGGAGUUGGUAAAAGAAAUUCAUACCAAAGCAACGGAUCGUUCAGCCACAAUAGUAAGAAUAUCAGCGCAGGAAACAACCCUUGGACAUGCCUUUUCAACGGCAGCUUUCAUGUUAUCAAUAACUUCGAAACCCCUCGCCGAAUUAUUAUUUGGCGCAGCAAAUUUCUCGCUGUCUAUGUUUUUAGUGCUGUCCAGCAAAAUCGAUGCAUCACACCCCCGAAAAAAUAGUAUUAGUUAACAACUUGCUAUGUUAACAGUCCAUUAUAUUGUUAUUUUAACAAGUAGAUAGAUUCCUUCUUAUCUUAUGGACAUGAAUUCAAAAAAAUUAAAUAAAUAAUGCAAACUCUUCUUAUUUAAAUUGUCUUAUUAUUACAUAUGUUUUUAAGACUAGGAUUUCCUGUUGAUUUAAAUUUUUCGGUUGGAAGAAUAUAAAACAAGUGUGAUUUUUUUUCAACCAUACACCAUUAAUAUUGGCACUGAGCAGGGAUGAGGCCAUGAGGUGGAUUUGAAUUCCUGUUUUGGACCAAAUCUUUGCUAGAUUUAAAUUUCUAGUACAUGAAAACCCCAUAUUAAAAUUUAUUUAUAAACAAAGAAUUACAUGGUCCUCGGUACAUCGAAUUAGAGAGGAAAAAUUUGUCGUAAAGAGAAAAGAAAAAGAGAAAAAAAAAAGAUAUAUAAAAAUGGUUUUGGAAGUUGUUGAAAUUAAAAUGAUAUAUUCAAACUUUUAAUGAAAACUCUAUAUUUUGUUUAAUGACACAAAAAAUUAUAAAGAUACUGUUCAUUGACAUGCUUGAAACUAUGUUAUAUCAAUAAGUAAAUAGACAGAGAGCUUGAUAAGUAAAGAAGAUGAAAAAUGAGAGAGCAGAGAUUGCUUACAUCAACAAAACAGUCAUGGAAAUGAAGCCUGAUGAGGCUGGCACCGAUGCGGAUAUCGGACGAGAAAGCUUUCUUAAGCACAUCCUCGAUAAUGUUCAAUACAUUAGGGCACGUGGAAGAAUAAAAAGAGGAAGAAAGUUGAGCUUGAGAUGGUGAUCCCUCAAGCACAAAAGCAACAACAAGAGCUGCUGCAAGAAGAUAACGAGGUGAAGCCAUUUUGUCUAAGAGUUACUACUUCUCUAUUAAGAGAAUAAUUAGUCUUAGGACUUGGAAAACAAAGAGAAAUGCCUCUUUAUUUAUAACCAAACAAACCAGAUUAGGAUUAGAACUUUGCAGCAACCUCGAAGUUUAAUUUCAAAUGAGGUUUUAAAAUAUAGCAGUAAAUAUUUUCUAAAUAAUUUAAUGUUGUAUUUUAAAAGGUAAAUCGGUCUUACUUUAAUUUCAAAUGAGGUCUUGAUUAAUUGAAACCUCAAGUGGGAGUUAAAUAAUUAAGAAAUGGCUGGAUGACUUUUGAAAUGGGUAAAAAAUGAUUUUAUUAAUGAUCAUUGAAAAGAUAACUGUUGCUACUAAUGUUUUCUUUUAUGGGGAAAAAGGAUCAUAAUAAUUGCAAAAUGGUUUAGUGAAAUAGUACGGAGAUUCUAUUGGUUUUAGAAAUUAUAUAGGCUCUUUUUUGGUACACACAGACCAUAAAAUUGUCAAAUAGAUUUUUAAAAUUUGUUCAAAAAUAAGUUUUGUUAUCCCAUAAAAAAAGUAUGUAUGGCUAUUUUUAAAAGGCAAGUGCUAAGUUACAUGCAAUGUAACUUACAUCACUCAUAUACUUUGCAUAUAACUGUUCAUGUGAGUGAGUGUAUGUUACAUUGCAUAUAAUUUAGAGGGAUCCUUUUUAAAAAUAAAAGAUUCUUCCCUACUAUUUUGUCAAAUUACGAAUAAUUGACAAAAAGUAGAAAGAAAUAUGUAAGAAAAAGGUGUUUUUUCGGUUAAUAUUUUAAAGCUAGAGGAUAAAAUGGAUCACUAAAAACUGGAAAGUGACUCAGAUGACAAUGCGUAUCGAUGACAUAGGAAAAAAAAAAAACACAUACUGUAUGACAAGGAUUUCUGAUACAUAGAAAGCAAGGAUGUGAAUACACAAACACAACCUUAGUUUAUUGAAAAUAAAAAGCAUGUUUCAGGCAAAACAUAGGAGUAAAUUCACGAGUUUGUUACCCACAAACUCUAUCUC